GGUGGGUCCCCGCCCAUGCCCAGCACGUCCUGAGGAACAGCUGCCAGCUACCCAGGUGUCCGCAGGGCCCCCCAGCCUCAGCAGAGUUGGCAGAGGCCCACUGUGGAUGUGCUGGACUUUGGCCCACAGAUCUAUGCGCUGUUGCACCUACAGGAACGACCUGAAGAUGAGAAGAAGACAGCCAGCCCGAGAAAGGGCCAAAGAGCCUGCGAAGUAGUUUUCGAAGUAAAUGGAGAGUGCAGAGAUCUGAGCACAGGAAAGGAAGAGGCUGGAAACCUGGCAUGCCCUUUCUGCCCCUGAGCUGCCUGCCCCUGAGUGUGGUUUCCAGAAUUGCCCUGCUUGCUGCUCCUUUGCAUACUCUUCUCUGGAAAGUGAGUCACUUUUCCAUUCUAAGUAUUGUAUCUUAUUUGGUGUGAGGUUGUGGCAUAAGGUUGGGCCUGUUUUUAUUUGUUUCAUCUUGGAAAUUUCAUCAUGGAAGACAUGUUCCUCACUGUUUUUACUUUGUAAGUUCACUUCACUCACUUCCAAGAGUGAUUUCAAAAGGGACUUCAAGAAUCUGUGCUUAUAUGGCCAUUUUAUUAUAACAUUAAAACAUAAAAAUGUUUCAGCCUCUCCUUUGAAAAAAAGUUUGGCAUAUUUGUUUAGUGAAUGCAUGGACACCAUGGUGCAUUCUGUUGAAGACUGCAAUGCAUACUAGAAC
rnacentral:lncRNA from 1 species